rnacentral:rRNA from 1 species
UACAGAGGUCUCAAGCGUUGUUCGGAUUCAUUGGGCGUAAAGGGUGCGUAGGCGGCGCGGUAAGUCGGGUGUGAAAUUUCGAGGCUUAACUUCGAAACUGCAUUCGAUACUGCCGUGCUAGAGGACUGGAGAGGAGACUGGAAUUUACGGUGUAGCGGUGAAAUGCGUAGAUAUCGGGAGGAACAUCAGUGGCGAAGGCGGCCUUCUGGUCCAGUACUGACACUCAAGUGCGAAAGCGUGGGGAGCAAACAGG